rnacentral:tmRNA from 1 species
GGGGAUGAAAGGCUUCGACGGGAAAGGUGGCGAGUCCAGAGAAAAAAGCCCCUGGCGAAAACCUCCUAAAGCUCGCGGGUUUAAAAACCCAACCCUUUUCCGGAUGCGGGUUCGAUUCCCGCCAUCUCCACUC